UACGUAGGGGGCAAGCGUUGUCCGGAAUCAUUGGGCGUAAAGAGCGUGUAGGCGGCCACCGCAAGUCGACUGUGAAAUCUCCGGGCUUAACCCGGAAAGGUCAGCCGAUACUGCGGGGCUAGAGUGCAGAAGGGGCAACUGGAAUUCUCGGUGUAGCGGUGAAAUGCGUAGAUAUCGAGAGGAACACCUGCGGCGAAGGCGGGUUGCUGGGCUGACACUGACGCUGAGGCGCGAAAGCUAGGGGAGCGAACGGG
rnacentral:rRNA from 1 species